rnacentral:rRNA from 1 species
CAGCCGCCGCGGUAAUACGAAGGGGGCUAGCAUUGUUCGGAUUUACUGGGCGUAAAGCGCACGUAGGCGGACAUUUAAGUCAGGGGUGAAAUCCCAGAGCUCAACUCUGGAACUGCCUUUGAUACUGGGUGUCUGGAGUAUGGAAGAGGUAAGUGGAAUUCCGAGUGUAGAGGUGAAAUUCGUAGAUAUUCGGAGGAACACCAGUGGCGAAGGCGGCUUACUGGUCCAUUACUGACGCUGAGGUGCGAAAGCGUGGGGAGCAAACAGGAUUAGAUACCCCAGUAGUCCCUGUCUCUUAUAC